AUUGAACGCUGGCGGCAUGCUUAACACAUGCCAGUCGAACGGUAACAGGUGUAGCAAUACAUGCUGACGAGUGGCGGACGGGUGAGGAAUGCUUGGGAAUCUGCCUGUUAGUGGGGGACAACCCGGGGAAACUCGGGCUAAUACCGCAUACGCUCUACGGAGGAAAGCGGGGGACCGUAAGGCCUCGCGCUAACAGAUGAGCCCAAGUCGGAUUAGCUAGUUGGUGGGGUAAAAGCCUACCAAGGCGACGAUCCGUAGCUGGUCUGAGAGGACGAUCAGCCACACUGGGACUGAGACACGGCCCAGACUCCUACGGGAGGCAGCAGUGGGGAAUAUUGGACAAUGGGGGCAACCCUGAUCCAGCAAUGCCGCGUGUGUGAAGAAGGCCUGCGGGUUGUAAAGCACUUUUGGCAGGGAUGAAAAGCACUGGAUUAAUAACCCAGUGUGUUGACCUAACCUGCAGAAGAAGCACCGGCUAACUCUGUG
rnacentral:rRNA from 1 species